CCUACGGGUGGCUGCAGGCGCGAAACCUCUGCAAUGCGGGAAACCGUGACAGGGGGAUCCCCAGUGCUCAUGCAUUGCAUGGGCUGUUCUUUGGUCUAAGUAACCAGAGGAGUAAGGGCUGGGCAAGACCGGUGCCAGCCGCCGCGGUAAUACCGGCAGCUCAAGUGGUAGCCGCGAUUAUUGGGCCUAAAACGUUCGUAGCCGGAUAAGUAAGUCUUUGGUUAAAUCCUGCGACUCAACCGUGGGAAUUCUAGAGAUACUGCUUGUCUUGAGACCGGGAGAGGUUGGAGGUACUCCUAGGGUAGGGGUGAAAUCCUGUAAUCCUAGGGGGACCACCUGUGGCGAAGGCGUCCAACUGGAACGGGUCUGACGGUGAGGGACGAAACCUAGGGGAGCGAGCCGGAUUAGAUACCCUGGUAGUC
rnacentral:rRNA from 1 species